CUCGGUGCUGCCGGCACGGGCCGUGGGGCCGCCGGGGCUGUGCGGCACCAUGGACCCGCCCGCUCAGCUCCCUGCUCAACGCCCGUCUGACGGCAAAAAUUCUCCCAACCUGCAUGAUAAACCUGGACCAAAUGGACUACAGGGAACAUAUCUGGAGAUUGUGAUCUUAAAUCUGCAUGUUCUUUCCAUCCAAACUGAAGUAAUCUAUUUAAAGAGCCAACAGCAGCCACCACGGACGACUCUGGCUUGACCAUGACAGCACAGGCUUUCCAGCAGCAGUGAGCUCAGUAAUCCACAGCUAAUGAGCCAGAGCUCCAAAAUGUCCGUUGUGCAAGGGCUUCUUUAAAAGCUCAGAUUUCCUGUAGCUGAGCGUUGCCAAUGGAAAUCUAGAUUUUGCAGAUGUUGGACUGUAUCCAGCCUAGAACUGUAGAUAAUUACUGAUUAUUGCACAAGAGUGAAUAUCAUCUAAGAAAUAAAGGUGAAGAGGAUGGAAUGAGAAUUUCUUUUCUCAGGGGAGUUAAAUGAUCCUCCUGCAGUAAGACCUUUGCAUCCUCAAAAGGCAGCAGCAGAAAUUUCUCAUAAAGUUUGACCUGUUGUUCUGUAAGUAAUAUAU